AUGUUUUAAAUGUACUAGUAAACUCACUCAAGUUUAUUGUAACAUUUGAUGCGAUUAUAUUUAUUUUGGUGCAAUAUAAUCUGGAGGAUAACAUUGGUAAUUUUUCUAAUAUAUAUUGUCUCUCAGAUUUUAUGCAAGGAUAUUCAAUGCCAUCUUUAUUCAUAGUCUCUAUAUGAUAUCCAUUACUUCGGAUACCUUUGAAACUUAUC
rnacentral:sRNA from 1 species